rnacentral:rRNA from 1 species
GAAACGAGAUCUUCGGAUCUAGUCGGCGCACGGUGUGAGUAACGCGUGGGAACCUACCUUUUAGUACGGGACAACGUUUGGAAACGAACGCUAAUACCGUAUACGCCCUCCGGGGGAAAGGUCAGCCGCUAAAAGAGGGGCCCGCGUCUGAUUAGCUUGUUGGUAAGGUAAUGGCUUACCAAGGCUACGAUCAGUAGCUGGUCUGAGAGGAUGAUCAGCCACACUGGGACUGAGACACGGCCCAGACUCCUACGGGAGGCAGCAGUGGGGAAUAUUGGACAAUGGAGGCAACUCUGAUCCAGCAAUGCCGCGUGUGUGAUGAAGGCCCUAGGGUUGUAAAGCACUUUCAACGGUGAAGAUGAUGACGGUAGCCGUAGAAGAAGCCCCGGCUAACUUCGUGCCAGCAGCCGCGGUAAUACGAAGGGGGCGAGCGUUAUUCGGAAUUAUUGGGCGUAAAGGGCUCGCAGGCUGCAUUGAACAGUUAGACGUGAAAUCCCCGGGCUUAACCUGGAACUGCGUUUAAUACUAGCAAGCUAGAGAAAUAGAGAGGAAAGUGGAACUCCCAGUGUAGAGGUGAAAUUCGUAGAUAUUGGGAAGAACACCAGUGGCGAAAGCGAUUUCUGGCUAUUUUCUGACGCUGAGGAGCGAAAGCGUGGGAGCAAACAGGA